rnacentral:lncRNA from 1 species
AGCGAUCCCCGCACUUCCCAACGAGUCUGAAGCCCUCACCCUCUACAAAGCAAAUUAGAACAAGGUGAUGGAUCUCAACAGCAACAAGAAGAAGAGGGGAAUAUCUGCCUCUUUUUAUUUUUCUUUUUAUUUCUCCUCUUUUUAUUACUUUUUUUUUUAUUUGUCAAGUUUGUAGGAGCUUUUGUUUCGAAUUUUGUGUUUUAUUGGAGAGGGAUUUUCCAGCAUUGGUUUGGCUGCGUGUAAUGAUGGAAGUUGGAGGCUUAAGCAUUGCCUAAUAAGUAAUAUGAUUUCUG